GUCACCAUGUGAUCCCGGGAUGAGGACGCCAAUGGCAGGUGUCUGAUAAGAUAAGUCUUAUAAAAUAUAUAGAUUUAUGAUAAUUAAGAAUGAGCUAACAGAUGAGAAUCCUAGUCAUUGGCCAAGCAGCAUUUGUACCUAAUAUAAGUCUCUGUGUAUUAUUUGGGGCCCUAACUCGGCGGGCAGAACUCAGGAGGCUGGUGGAAAGUACCCACGUGGCGGUAGGGCUCGGGCGGCUUUUGGCGGAAAGAUUUAUUGUAACACGCUUCCUUUGGGUUAGCUCUACACUUCCUCCCAUGAUUUCCCUCAUACUUAACCUCCUUCCUGCUUAAGCCUUUCUGCCCCUAGUAUUCUUCCUCCAUACUUUUGGUUGACCUGCAAUCUGCUUAAUGUGUCCCCCACUGAAGGCCCCUUUCUAGUUUUCCAGCUUCAAAUUAAACACAAAAUAAAGGUUAGAAGUUGAGAUCUGCAUACAAUAGCAAGCAUACGGCGUUUAUUUUUCUGGAUCUAAGUAAAAAAACUCAUCUAGUUUAACUUUUUUCCAGUUCUAUCCUUUCACCUGCAAAUUUUGUGAUUUCAUUUUUCUUUACUGCCCAGUAAUAUUCCAUUGUGCACAAGUACCAUGUUUUUCUUAUCCAUUCAUCUGUUGAUGGGCAUCUAGAUUGCUCCCAUUUCCUAGUGAAUAGGGCAGCCUUGUACAAGUCCGUGCAAGAAUGUACAAGGGAGCCAAGUUUUUUUUUUUUAAUUUUGAACCAGGACAACUAUGAAACUAUGUUUAACACUUAACUGUUUUCAUGUUAUUAUUUAACGACUCAAGAUUGGAUUUAAUUGAGACUCCAUUCUCUCAUCUUCAUAAGGGUAUAUGGAACCUCAUUCAUUUUGUGGGUAUCCCAUAAUCAAGGGUCUGUUUUGGCUUCUUGACUUCUGCUGCAGGAAGCUGAUCAUCAAAGCCAUACGGCUGGAAGGCAGGAGAUUGCAUUUGCCUCAAGUUCUUACCCAACAAGCUUCAUGAGUUUGGACAUGACACACGGUCAUUCCACACCUCAGACUCCUCAUUAUUCCGAUGAAGUGAUUAAACUGUCUUCCACAUGACUCCUUGUAGCAAUGUCAUCUUAGUAUCCUCUGACUUGGAGGUUUUUAUUAGAAACAGGUUUAUUUAUAAAUCAUUAAUACAGUUCUACCCAGUGGCUACUCAGUAUCUGCACAGCCCAAAGCUUUUAAUAACUAGGUAACCCUCUGGGCCUGUGCUCAAUAGACGAUGGCUCCCUACUUUGUGUGGGCUAAAAAUGGCCACACUGCUUUGAAAUUCGUGCCAUUUGAGAGGUGGCAUCUGUUUCUCUUCUCCUGGAUUCUGUGCUUGCUUUAUAAUGUACUGUGUGUCACAAAGUGAUGCAAAAAGGGGUGAAACCUCCAAGUAAAAGGAAAAAGGUGACACAUUUAUUUCUAGUACUUGGGAGGCAGAGGCAGGUGGAUCUCUGUGCGCUCAAGGUCAGCUUGCUCUGCACAGUGAGUUCCAGGACAUCUAGAGCUACACAAUGAAACCUUGCCUUGAAUAAAACCAAAAUCCCAAACCCUAAAACCAGAAACCCCAAACCAAACCAAACCAACCCAACCAACCAACCAAACAAAAUAAACAAAAAGGAAAAGUAUAAACAUCUUGUACUUUCAGUUUUAUCCUGUUUGAAUUUAUGUUAGCUAGACCUAUGGCAAUUCAGUCCAAAGCCUUGGCCAACUUCAGAACAUACGCAUGAGGCCACCUGUGCUAAACACUUUUCAUUUCUGCAAUGAAAUGCUAGAGAUAAUAAGCCCAUAAAUAGAAAAGGGUUAAGUGCCUCACAGUUUGGGGCUUCUAGUCAACAGUAUCCAACCUUUGACAUUGCCGUAUGAUUUCAUCUACAAAUGUGUUGGGUCUCACCCACAGCUGUCCUGGGAGGCAAGCAGCCUGUGGGCUGGACACUCCUGUUCCACUCAAUGAUCAUAGGUCUUGGCAAGAGCACAUUGUGAAGUAAAACAAUUCACAUCUGGGCCACAUAGGGCUCAGGUUCCAAAGUGCCCUCCCAGGGUUUCCAGUCCUCAGUAUAAAGUCUCUUCAUGGGGAAACUGUUGGGGACAGAGGCAAAAAUUGUAGACUUUAGAAUGAAACAAAUGUGUGAUGUAUUCCAUAAUAGUUCCCACAGGUGUUUGAAUUUCCAGAACACUUUUAAUCUUGCUUGGACUUGUUUCCUACAUCUGGAAAGUGAGGGUUAUGACAUCUGUCUUGGAAGACUGUGAUGAAAUGGGGCAAACAGUUAGAGAUACUAUAUCCCUGCCCAUGGCCCUGCCCAUGGCCCUGCCCACUGCACAUGAUGCUUUGGUUUUUUGUUUUUAUUUUUUUCCCAAUGCAACAAUUAAAACAUGUCAGCUUACAAGUCAAUGCUGGUCAUGUUUCAGCGGCACUGAACACUUUAGAGCCUUUUAGAAAUGGGGGUAGCAAGCCACAUUCCUAUGGAUACUAACUUAAUUUGAAAUCUAGACUAGAGAAAUCUAGACUUUCUAUCAAAUAGUUUCAUGCUAAUUUCUUGAAAGUUUCUCUCUCUCUCUCUCUCUCUCUCUCUCUCUCUCUCUCUCUCUCUCUCUCUCUCUCUCUUCUCUCUUGAGAUGGAGUCUAACCUCUCUGUCUAGUCUGUCCCCAAACACUAGAGCUCCAGUGGUCCUCCUGCCUCAGCCUCCAGAGUAGCUGGGACAAACAGGUGCACACCACUCUUCCUGACUUGAAAGUAUGAAGUGUAACAACUUAACAACUCCUAAAAAGGACAUUUUAAGCAUGUAAGCAUGCUGCUAUUUUGGCUGGAGGCUAGUUUCAAUGACUUUCUUCAAAGUAAGAAAACAAUGAAUGAGAACUACAACUAGAAACCAAUUCCAUCAAGCAGGAAACCCCUGCUUUUCUACUGUCUGUCUCUUCCCCCCUCUCCCCUCCCCCUCUCCCUUUCCUUCUCUCUCUCUUUCCCUUCUAUCUGUGUCUGUGAGACCAAUUCUUUCCCAUUCAAAAAGUGAGGGAAACUCAAGAUGUGUAUGGAAGGAGAAAAGAUUGCUAUGUCCGUGUCACUUAUUUACAUGGAAGUCGUGGCUGGCUGAGUCAUUUUGUUGCCAGCUGUCUGUGAAUUAGCCAGAAUGAGAUUGCCCAAGGUCAAUUAGUUUCCAGGAAGCAUUUUAAGUCUAUCCAUUGAGAAGCAGGCAGACUUUCAUUCCACUGUGGCUGUAGGGUCUCUGGGGCCCAAGGCCUGGAUGCGGCAUGGCUUCCUUCUUCACACCGCAAUUUCCCAACCAACCACAUCAUCGUCACUCAUGCAUGUCUUUCUUGUGUAAGGAAUUCCUGGGGUCAGGAGUUCCCAGAGGCAGGCGAUGGGUCCCAUUGGCUUGAACUCGGGGUUGCUCUGCACAGGGCUGAUGGGUCUUGUUGUUUGAAUGCAGUGUUGCUCUACACAGUCUGAUGGGACUCAUUGGCUUGAACACAGGAGUUCUCUGCACAGGGCUAAUGGGCUUGAAUAUGGGGUUGCUUUGCAUAGGGCUGAUGGGACCUUCUUGAACAUCUGGUUCCAGCUGAAAUAGCCACUGUUGUGGCAGCUGUUCAUGCUGCUCUUUUACACCAUGGACUUAAUCUCCUCACUGUUUCUGGCUGACACAAAACCAGUAGCUUCCCAACUGUCACAGCUCUGCUUUUCCAGGCAGAAGGGACUGUUAUGAAUUUCCUGAGAGGAGGGGACUUUUUUUUUUUUUUGUUUUGUUUUGUUUUUUGAGACAGGGUUUCUCUGUGUAGCUUUGGAGCCUAUCCUGGCACUCACUCUGGAGACCAGGCUGGCCUCGAACUCACAGAGAUUUGCCUGCCUCUGUCUCCCGAGUGCUGGGAUUAAAGGCGUGCACUACCAACAUCCGUGGAGGAGGGGGCUUUUUAUUUUUUAUUUAUUUUUACAUACUAAUCCCAGUUCUCCUCCCUCCUGUCCUCCUGCUCCCCCUACUUUCUGAUCACCCCCGCUUUGUUCCUCAGAGAGGGUAAGGUCUCCCAUGGAGAGUCAAUGAAGUCUGUGUAUCACCUUGUUGAGGUAGGACCAACCCCCAUCCCCCUUGUCCAGGCUGAGCAAGGUAUCUCUCCAUAGGAAAUGGGCUCCAAAAAGCCAGUUUAUGCCUUAGGGAUAGAUUUGGUCCCACUGCCCAAGUCACCCACUGUCACCUGCAUUCAGGGGAGGAAGGAACUUUUUAUUCAGCAACUCCCGAGUUUGUCUACACUGGAAAUUCAUUCUGAACUGGUGGAGACAGCUGCUGACCAACAAAGUUGGUCAGUGUGUGGUGUACUCUGUAAGCUGGUGGCAAAACUGCCUCAAUUCAUUCCUGAAUCCAUGAAUUCUGAUGCCACAAACUCUGCUGACAUUUGGCCCCUUCCUCUUCCCUGAGCUUCAGGUGUUUGUUUUUAGGGCUCAUCAGCUUCUCAUACACCCUCUAUCAUUUAAUGAAACUUUCACUUCAAAGUCUAGUUGCAAGUAUGUCUAAUCCGUGGUCUAUGGGCUGCCUGCAUCCCAGGAGAGCUGUGAAUGUGGUUCAAUUCAUUCAUAAAUAACAGCACUUGUCACAGAGUCAACAAGGUGGACACUCCUGCCAGUAGGAGGGUGCUGGUGCCUCUGUCUUUUUAUUUCUCUCUUUCUUUCUUUCUUUCUUUCUUUCUUUCUUUCUUUCUUUCUUUCUUUCUUUCUUUCUUUCUUUCUCCCUCCCCUCCUUCCCCUCCCUCCUCUCCCUCCCCUCCCUCUUUCUCUUUCUUUCUUUCUUUCUUUCUUUCUUUCUUUCUUUCUUUCUUUCUUUCUCCCUCCCCUCCCUCCUCCCUCCCUCCCUCCCUCUCCCUCCCCUCCCUCUUUCUCUUUCUUUCUUUCUUUCUUUCUUUCUUUCUUUCUUUCUUUCUUUCUUUCUUUUUUCCUGAGACAUGGUUUCUCUAUGUAGCCCUGGAUGCCCUAGAACUCACUCUGUAGACCAAUUUGGCCUCAAACUCACAGAGACAGCCUGUCUCUGGUGGGAUUAAAGGUGUGGGCCACCACCGCUGGGUUCAUUGUCCUUUCUUAAUUGGUAGAAGAAUUUGAAGCUCCUGUGUUCAUAACACACAUGGUGAAUGAUAUUAAUCCCGCUGCCUCAUGCACGAGUUUAGUUGCUAGCUUUUAGCCUGCUUGUGUCCAGUCAGCUGACAAAUCUGUCCCUGUAUGGUAGAAAGGUUGGGAUAGGUCGUGAGGUGGGACUAUUUCCCUGUGAUUCUGGAGUCAUAGCUGCACACCAGUGACGUGCACGGCUGCCAUGCCCUCUAACUCCCUGUGCUGCUGUCGCUGCCAGUGCUGCGGGACUCCUCCAUGGCCCAGGCACCACCCUGUGGUUGGGACCCCAUGGCUACCUAUCCUUAAACUAUAGUUAGAUAGCUCAUUGUCAUUUGGAUGUGCACUUCCCAGACAUCUAAUAAAACUGAACAUUUUCCAUAAAUUUACUAACCAUUUGAAUUUCUUCUCUUCACAAUUGUCUAUGUCCUUGGUCUAUUUUGAGGUUAUAUUAUAUACCUUUUUUUGGUCCACUGACUUAAAGUUACUUUUAUAUUUUUUCUUCUUUUCUUGGAGCCCUUGAUAUCAGAUCCAGGGCCUUGCUAGGCAAGUGCUCUACCCCUGAACCACACACCCAGUUCUCUCUCUAUCCAAUGAGCCUUUCCACAGCCCCUGGGCCCACUCUCCACUGCUUCAUCUCUUUGCAGCUCAGCAGCUCCUCGCGUGACACCAUCUGUCCAUGUUUGCUUUUGGGUUGUUAACCAGAAAAUCUGUUCCCAAACCAACAUCUUGAACUGCUUGCCCUGAGCUUUCUGCUGGUGGCUUUACAAGGUUCAGGCUGGUCUUUAAGGCUUUGAAGAAAAUGGAUUCCUGUCUCAUUGAGUUAUUCUCUAUAAUUGAGAGAUGCUCAGUGUGCUUUCCUAAAAUCCGGCAAAUAUUUCCCAAAGAAAACUAGGACCAUUUAUCCCUGCUCUUUCCACUUGUAACAACACAGGAAGGUUUUCUAAGGUUUAAUGGUGAUUAUCUUGAGAAAAGGAACAUCUUGAAUCUGUAAGGCUAGUUUUGCUUUGAUUUAUUUGGGAUUUAAGCUUGUAGGAUAAACACAUUUGAGAAGCUUCAUGCUCAUUCUGCAUUAUGGAAUGCGUCUCUUCCAGUUUCAUUUUUCUGCUAUUUAGUUUUGAGAGGCAUCUUUUAGGCUAUGGACCAUAUUAGGUCCCACAUCCUAAAAUAGAGCAGGAUGCGUAUGGUGGUGGGAGGUACCUCUGCCUGGCUUGCUGUGUCUUCCUGGAUGGCAAUAGGCCAUCUCUGCAGGCUCUGUGACAUAGCACAGGCUGGAGGUAGGCCCUCCUCGAGGUUGUGAGCCACCUUCUGCAGGAAUUUGUGCCAUAUCGCCAGAGCCAUGCUGCAGCAUGGCACAUGCCGGGCUCUUGGGAGACAGCCCCACCUUGUCCAUCUGCUUUUUCACUCGUACCCAUCCUUUCUUCUGUCAAAAGAACCUUCCAGUGCAUGAAAAUCCCUGAUUUUCCAGCACAGAGACAUGACAUAAAAAUUUGAAUGAAUACCUUAGUUUUCUGUACUUGACUGUAUUGACAUUCAGCAGUGGCCAAGACAAAUGGCUGCCUGCAAGGAUUCCAGCAGCCACCACCAUCUCUGUCCCCCUCUGCUUCAUGCUCUGCCCUUUCCUUGUACAGGCUGUGACUUUCUGGGGUGGCCCUAGGAGACACAGACUUCCCUUCUUGCAGGAGAGAGAGAGGGAACAUGGAACAGAGGAUGGCAGUUGCCAUUAUGCCCUACACAAAGUAUUUUACUCCACAAAGUCAUACAUCCAAGUUAUUUAUUUAUUUAUUUAUUUAUUUAUUUAUUUAUUUAUUUGAGACAGUCUCACUAGGUAGCUCUGAUUGGUCUGGAAUUCAGGGUCCUCCUACCUCAGCCUUCCAGGUGUUGGGAUCAGUGGCACACAACUCCACACUUGCUAUAACAUUCAAGGUUUUUUUUUUUUCCCUUUGAGAUAGUGUUUCUUUGUGUAAUAGUCCUGGCUAUCCUGGAACUCGACCACACUGGCCUUCAACCCUCAGAGAUCCACCUGCCUCUGCCUCCUGAGUGCUGGGAUUAAAGGCGUGUGCGCCACCACUGCCUAGCUGCUUGCCACAUUUCUUACAGAAAGUCCUUCGGUUAUUAGGUAUAUUGACUGACAGUCUUUGCAGUGGAGGUGUCUAUGCUAUGAAAAUGAGAGACCCAGCAUCUGCGGUUGCCAUCUCCUGCCGCUUGUGCCAACAGAGAGACAUUCAAACUUUAAAUUUAACUCUUGUAAAAUUAUUGACCUUACAAUGAGGGAUAUUGGAGAUUCCAAAAAUUUCUGCUUUCUUCAUUUUGACAGGCUUGGGUUUCUGAAGGCUGUCUAGGGGCAUUGAAUAAUGUAUGCUUUCCAGGGAUGGGACCCAUGGGGCAUAUACUCGAUGGAGUCCUAAGAGUCUUUUGAGUUGUGGGGAGGAGAGAAGGAGUUAUGAGAAAGAGAAGGGGAGAAGAGAAGGGGAGAGGAGGACAUGAGGGAUCAGGAAAUUUGAGUCAGGGGAAGAAUAGAGGAGAGCAAGAAAAGAGAUACCAUAAUAGAGGGAGCCAUUAUAGGUUUAAAGAGAAAUCUGGCACUAGGGAAAUGUCCAGAGAUCUACAAGGAUGACACCAACUAACAAUCUAAGCAUGAUUACUUUAUAUGCCAUUCUAGAGCCUUUAUCCAGUAGCUGAUGGAAGCAGAAGCAGACACCCACAACUAAACACUGCACAGAACUCCUGAAAUCCAGUUGCAGAGGGAGGAGUGAUGAGCAAAGGGGUCAAGACCAGGCUGGAGAAACCCACAGAAACAGAUGACCUGAACAAGGGGGAGCUCAUGGACCCCAGAUUGAUAACUGAGAACCCACCCUGACCCCCUGAUCAUGGUGUCAGUUAGGAGGCCUGGACAAUCUAUGGGGCCUCUGGCAGUGGAUCAGUGUUUAUCCCUAGUAUAUGAAUGGACUUUGGGAGCCCACUCCACAUAGAGGGAUACUCUCUCAGCCUAGACACACGGGGGAGGGCUUAAGCCCUGCUCCAAAUGAUAUGACAGACUUUAAUGACUCCCCAUGGAAGACCUCACCCUCCCUGGGGAGCAGAAAGAGGAUGGGAUAGGGGGUUGGUGGAGGGGGGGCAUGGGAGGAGGGGAGGGAGAGGGAACUGGGAUUAACAUGUAAAACAAGCUUGUUUCUAAUUUAAGUAAAAAAAUCUGAAAAAAAUGACAGCCAAAAAAAAAAAAAGAGGUGGCUUCCCACCCUGAGGGCUCAGAGGAUGAGCCACCAUCGUCUCUCUGCUUCAAGCUAGAGGGUAGGUCUCUGUGAGAGGUAGAGGGUGUGAUCCACACUCCCCAUGCCAUGGCAGGAAGCUCAGCAGCUGACACCUGCAAUCCAACCAUGGAAAAGCAUGGAUGUGCUCGCUCCCUUAUGUCUGCGGUGUCUUUGAACAUCACACCGGGAUGUGGUCAUGCACAAAUCUGCUUGCAUUCUUGUGUGCCUAGGUGCACGAGCGCUAGUGAAGGCAAGUGUUGAAUUUGUGUCUGCCUAGACCAGUCUAUGGCAUGUCUUGAAGAAUGCAAAAACCACACACUUUUGUAGACUCUACCAGCUGCUGUCCCUCCUACCCCCUUCCCUCCCCACAUCCAGCAGCAAGCACUUUGGCCCAGCUGCCUUGCUGGAAUGCUCUUUUGGAACAUUUAAAAAAAAAAAGCAUUUGGAAGGCCUUGUAAGAGAGGCAUUGGAAGUUCAUCACAGAUUAUUUGUAGUAAGAAUUCUUCAGGGAGAUGGGGGCUCUGAGGUACUGGCAACAUUUUUCCCUUUUAAAAGUAAACAAGACUCCAUUUUCUCCAGUAUUCAGCCUGUUGUUCUUUCCUCUCCCUUGUAAUCAUCCUGCAAAUGGACUCCCAAGGUCCAGAUGGGCAGGCAUGGGGCCCUUUCUGUGUGUGAUACACACAGGACCUGUGAGAAAGCUCACCAAGCCCCAAGGAAAGGAGGCUCUGAGGGGACCCAGGUUCAGACCCAAUCUGGAUUGCUUCCUGCUGUUAAUUCUUGUCUACUCAGUGAUCCAAAUGAACAGGUGAUGCUCCUGCUUGGCUGCAGUAGUCACGCUAAGCUGUGUGCAUCCACGUUCGUGCAGGUGUGUGCACACAUUGUGUGUGUUGUGUAAGUGAAUAGAAGCAAAGACCAUUGCCAUCAUCCUUUAGAAAGUGGAGGUGACUGUCCCAUGUAGCACCUGUAAGCUCUGAGGCCUGCUGGGAACUGUAGCCAUGUUCUGUGCUCAACUAUCUAUGGGCAGCAAAGUGUGGAUGGACAGCAUAGAGGGUCUCUUAUUCCCCCUCUCACACCCAGCUGGCAUGGCUACCCCUCUGUGUCCUGGCAGAGUCACCCCUUUGUUUUCCAUCCCCCCAACACUCUGAUGCUAGCCUCUGUGGGUCUACCUGGAAGUUCUUUCUGUGGGAGCAGGGAGGAAUUUGAGGAGCACUACUGUUCUGACUCUACCAGUGCAAAGUUUAGAGUCAGAUAGGUCAGUUUCAAGCUGGCUUUGUUCCAUGUUUGUCUCUUAAGGGAAAGAGUGGUCCCCUGGGGAUUUCCAUGGCUCUGCGGACAGGCAGUGAGUGAGAAAUUCAAUAUCACCUGCAAUCCCAGAGGCUCACUUUCUGUUCUUCCCCUCCUCUUCCGUCUCACAAAAAUGUUGGUGCUCAUUCCUCAGGCUGUGUUUAUGGGAUCAGGAUCAUGUGGGUGGAGAGCUAGCAUACACUUCCUCCUCCCGUCACCCCAAGAAGUGCGGUGUGUCUAGGUUCAGGGGCUACUCAGAGAGAAGCACAUAAUGUCUCUGGUAUUAUUUAUUCUCUGAAUUUUGAACAAUUGUGGUUUUCUGUAAUAGUCUCUGUCUAUUGCAAAGAGAAGUUUCUUUGUUGAAGGGUGAGAAUUAUAGUUACUUGUGGGAAUAAGGAUAAAUAUUUAGAAUGUGGUGAGGGAUUAGUUUUGUUUGGUAAAGUGCUAGCUGUAGGCUCUUCUCCUAGGUCCAUGACCUCACAGGUUUCCCAUUGGUUGGCUAGGUUUCCUGUACUAGGUGUGAUUUUUGUCUUGUUGAGUAGGCCUUAAGUCCGAUGAGAGAGCUGGUGGUUACUGCCAAGAUAGGAGUGCCACUGAUGCACCCUUAGGGUUAUGCCAUUGCUGGCCAUUAUUGUUGGUUUUAUGCUCAGGGAUUGGUUGGUUUUUGUGCUGAGUUGGUUGGUGUAGAGGGUGUUUCUUUGACUCUGAUUUCAUGGUCAUGAUGUGCUUUUUUCACUGGUCAACCCUUCUCCUCCCCUUUUAACCUUUUGGCUCUGGUCUCAGGGCCAGUGAAUUGGUUCUGGUCUCAGGGUCAGGGUGUGUUUCUUUGGCUCUGGUUUCAGGGCCAAACUGUGUUCUUUUGCUCUGGUUUCAGGGUCAGGGUGUAUUUCUUUGGCUGCCCCUUUUACCCUGCAGGAAACAUUCUGAGAUGCCCUAGGCUUGGCUAUUGAACUCGGCCUUCCUAUCCUAUAGCUUCAAGCCUACCAGCAUGAGUGGCUCUCCAUGCUGAGUUUAGUUCUCAUCAGCCUUUAUCUUCAGGGAGAUCUGAAGGAAGACCCCAACUUCCUGUGCCAGCAAGUUUUCUUUUUUUUUUAUUAUCAUUUUUUAAUUUGAAUUAAAAACAAUAUUGUUUUACAUGACAAUCCCAGUUCCCUUCUCCCUCCCGUCCUCCCCUACUACCCCCCCAACUAAAACCCUACCUAUCACAUAUCCUUUCUUCUGUUCUUCCCCUGACUCAACCUUUCUGCUCCCUCAUGACCUCUGCAUCCUUCCUCUUCUUCCCUUAUCAUUCAUGUAGCUCCCUCCCCCCUCUUCCCGUGCUCUCAAUUUGCUCAGGGGAUCUUGACCCUUUCCUCUUCUCCAAGGGACCAUGUAUGUCUCUCUUAGGGUCCUCCUUGUUUCCUAGCUUCUCUGGCAGUGUGGAUUGUAGGCUGGUAAUCUUUAUGUCUAAAAUCCACAAAUGAGUGAGUAUAUAUUAUGUUUGUCUUUUUGUGAUUCGGUUACCUUGCUCAGAAUGGUUUCUUCUAGUUCUAUCCAUUUUCCUGCAAAUUUCAAGAUUCCAUUGUUUUUUUUUUUUGUCCCCCCCCCCUGAGUAGUUCUCCAUUGUGUACUUUUUCUCGAUCCAUUCUUCGGUUGAGGGGCAUCUAGACUGCUUCCAGUUUCUGGCUAUUACAAAUAGUGCUGCUAUGAACAUCGUUGAACAGGUGUCCUUGUUGUAUGAAUGUGCUUCUUUUGGGUAUAUGCCUAAGAGUCGAAUUGCUGGAUCUUGUGGUAGAGCCAGCAAGUUUUCUAUUGUUGUAACAAAAUAUCCAAGGCUUGGCCCUUUCUAAAGAAAGAGGGUUGGCUAGGCAGUGGUGGGCACACCUUUAACCCCAGCAUGUGGGAGGCAGAGGCAGGCAAUAUCUGUGAGUCCCAGGCUGUCCUGGUCUACAGAGUUAGUUCCAGGAUAGCCAAGGGUACACAAAGAAACCCUGUCUCAAAAAACCAAAAACUAAACCAAAUUACCACCACCACCACCAAAAAACAAACAAACCCCAGACCAAAAACCAACUAUCCAAACAAAAAGGCUCAUUUAGCUCACAGUUCAGGAGGUUCAAGGGGCACGGCUGUUCACCGGCAUCGACUCAGUUCUGGUGAGACUUUAUAGUGGAUGAAUAAUAGCAUGUGAAAGUCACAUGGCGAGACUAGAAGCUGGAGGGUAACCAGUGAGGGCCAGACCUGCUCUUUCAUAACAACCUCUCCUGAAAACAAGUGAGGGUCUCAUGAGAACUUUACCAAUUCCUCCCAAGGGCAACUCCCCACAACCCAAUUAUUUGACACUGAGCCCUGCCUCUUAAAGCACACACUACUUCCCUGACAUUGCCACCCUAGGGACCAAGCUCACAGCACGUGGACCCUGGAGACACACUGACACUGCAAGGGAAUCCUAGCCCUUCCUGAUGCAUGUUAGCUCAUAUGGAGCUGGAACGCCCCAUCUGCUGCAGCUGACCUCCCCAGGUCUCAGUAAUUCCCUCCCGGCCAGCUUGCUUGCCUUUGCACAUGGUGACUUUGGAUUGCUCUUCUUUGCUUGAGACCUGUGUGUUUUCAACACUGUUGUCCAGGGCCAUCCUAGUCUGGCUCCAGGUCAGCUCUGGUCCCAAAUAUUUAAGAACCUAUGAGGUGCCAGGGUUUUGGACUUGGUUAGGGGAAUUCAGAAAAUAUGGAUGGCUGGUCAUUGAAAACAUUUAGCCCAGAGUGAUCUCUCUUCAAACUUGUACUUAAAAUACACACGGAAGUACUGAAAAUGGCCAAAAACCAAUGCAAGAAUGCCCAGGAACAGGGUCAACAAUGGCUAGCUUUGACCAGGGCUCCCAUUAUCUUCAGCAACAAUGAGGGAUCCAGAAGUACAAUUGGGGACAUUUUCAUUGUUAGUGGCUCAGUUGGCCAGAGGUGGAAGAAGCCUUGACUCUAGUCAAGGUUUAAAGAAGUCACUGAGCCCAGCUGAGCAGUCCCUUUCUUCUGGGUGCCUGUCAGUCUGGACUCUUGUCUCCCAUCCUGCUUGCUAUAGAGACAGACAGACAAAAGCUCAGGCAGGUGACACUGCAUGGUAAAAGGUGUAGGACAAUAGUAAGUACACUGCUGCUGGCAGAGCCCAGACAAGCCUGGCUUUGCCUUCCAGGUAGAACUCUGGGUGAAAGAAUGAUCCCCUAAUUCACAGGAAUUCACUUUCCCCAGGAAUGUCAGAAAAAACUGGUUCUCUCAAAUGGAAGGUCACACAAAAGCAAGUGCCUGACACUGGCCAUGGCAUUGGGCCUGGAGAGAGCUGGCUUUGCUUUUAGCUUUAGGUCCCCAGGGGGUACUUUAGGGGACCAGGGGUCAGGGGACAGGCAAAGAAAGUGACCCCAUCCCAUGCUCUCACCCGCAAAGGUCUUCUUUAUGGAGUCAUUUGAAUAGAAACACUGAACCAAUGAAUGUGGUCUGAACUGCACACACUGAUUACAGCUGAAAAUACAAUUUUUGAAAAUGUUAUUUUUAGGAAGAAAUAAACAAUGAUCUAAGGAUUGGCAUUUCAUGCUUUCCAUGAGCUAUAAGGAUAUAUGUAAUUAUUAGGUUUGCUAAGGGUGACAAGAAGGACAAUAGGGUGAGGGACAAGCCCAACUGGAAAGGCCAUCUCUGGUAGAGGGGAAGGCUAUCCAGUUGUUCACUGCCCACAGAGCUUGGUUCUCCAUUUGGCAGUGAGGGAGAACAGAGCUGCUGAAGGAGAGGCAAUCUAGACUUGCUGGAAGCCCCAAGAAAGAGUAAAGGGUGAGGGCUGUAAUGUUAUGGAGGCUGGAGAGAGGAAGUGACGUUUGGAGGCUCAGGCUAGUGUGAGGAAGAAAGUGCAAGUGGGAAGAAGCAAUAAUCAAAGAUACAGUGUUUUCGAGACAGGGUUUCUAUCUUUUGAGACAGGGCUUCUAUCUUUGGAGCCUGUCCUGGAACUCACUCUGUAGACCAGGCUGGUCUGGAACUCACAGAGAUUCAUCUGCCUCUGCUUCCUGAGCACUGGGAUUAAAGAUAUGUGCCACCACUGCCUGGCAAAGACAAAGGAUUUGAAAACUCCCAGACUGAGGGUAAAGAGCUUGGUCCAGAGAGUAACUUCAGUAAAGAUGUGUCAUUUAAGCUGAGGGACUCAACCUUCAGUGGUUAAUUCAGCCAGUGAUUCAGAUGCACAGAGAAGCAGCCAGUCUGAGACUUAGUGUGGAGUUGGACCAUCCUGUCUGCAAAUGCAGUCCAGUCUGAGAGCUAGUGUGCAGCUAAGACCAUCAUGGCAGCAAACUCAGAAGACAAUGGCGCAAGUUCAAAGCUUUCAGAAAGAUCAGUUUUUUUUUAUUUAUUUAUUUUUAAUUUCUUUUACGUGACAACAAAGCCUUUCUGGUGUGUAAGGACUCUGGAAGUAUACCAAGUGUCACAGCACUGUAGAUGAGGGAAGAAUCAAAUACAAGUACCCAGGACCAGAUAUGCCAACUCUUAGCAUCUCCACAGAGUGAAGAAGCUGAUAUCAGAAUGAAGGCUGAAGUCACAGAAUAAACAAGGACCGUGGUGUGCUGCUGUGACAACCCAACCUGAUGGAGGGUUACAGACUGAGACACUGACUUUGGAGCCAAGGGAAUGAAGACAGACAGACUUCCUGCUAGGUGGGGGAUGAUGUUCCAAAGAGACUAGAAAAUGAGUAAAUGAAGGAGAUGGUUCAGAGGGUGAAGUCCCAGAUGAUAGCCAAAGGUGGCUGGUGCAGGAGAGGGCGGAGACUGCUAAGCCCACCUGUUGAGAUGCCUCUGGGCUGUUCAGCUGAAGUGUCUUGCAGGUGAUGAUGUUAGAGAGGCAUUCUGGGAGUGGAGAGUGAGUAGGGUCUGAGGCUAGUGUGUCUGUGAGCAAGAGAGGAGGUCACUGUGGUGAGGCUGUCACUGUGGAGAGGUGGUCACGGUGGAGAGAUGGUAACUGAGGAGAGGUGGUCCCCAGGGAAAGGUGGUAACUGAGGAGAGGUGACCACAGUGGAGAGGAGAGGCUGUCACCAUGGAGAGGUGGUCACAGUGGUGAGGUGGUCACCAUGGAGGGGUGGUCACUGAGGAGCAGUGGUCACUGAGGAGAGGCGGUCACAGUGUUGAGGUGGUCACCUUGUGCACCUUGGGUGAGGCAUUUGGCUUUUCUUCUUAGUCACACAUGACUGGAGAGUUAGAGCGAAGACCGUGUGAGCUGUGUGCAGGCACAGAAGCAGUGACACCAUUGUUUGGAGUGCUGAGGAAUAUUUUAAUUGGGCAAAGAUGUGUUACAUUUGUUUAUGCUGCGUUUGUUUCAUCUUGCCUGCCUAAGGCACCUGAUGGUCUAAUAAAAGGCUGAAUGGCCAAUAGCUAGGUAGGAGAGGGGUAGGCAGAGCUGCCAGGCAGAAAGAAUAAGUAGGAGGAGAAACUUGAGAGAAGAGGGGAGAAGAACAAGAGAAGGAGGAGAGAACAUGGGACACACUGGGACCAGAAGCCAGGUAGUCACCAGCUAGCCAGAUGUACAGAAACAGUGAAAGUAAGAUAUACAGACGUAAUAAGUCAGGGGCAAAAGGUAGAUAAAGAGAAACAGGUUAAGUUAAAAGAGCUAGCCAGAAAAGAGCUAAGCUAGGCUGAGUACUCAAAAAUAAUAAUAAGACUUGUCAUGAUUUGGGAGCUGGGUGGUGGCCUAAAAGAAAAAGUCUGGUACUGUUAGACCCCCGAAAACUCAAGUAUCCGGGGUCCCAGGCCACGUUCGCGGUCACCCCAAUCACCAGGAGGAUUCGAGAGCUUGCUGCAAACUGCAUGAGGCUUUAUUGUAAUUUAACGAGCUAACCCCAUGUUAGCUCAGGUCUUUCACCCACCCGCCAUGGCGGAUGGCUAGAAAAGACAGUUUGAAGCCGCUGCACACAGAUCUUUAUAAGGGGAGUGUCUAGGGGUACACACAGGCUCAGGACUGGUGUGCCUCGAGGCUUGGAGGGCUUGCCCUGUGUUGAUUGGUCAACUGGUUGUUAUGGCCCAUAGGCCCUCCCAGGGUGGUUGCUAUGCUCUCUACGUCAUUGCUGUGCAUUUGUCCGUAAAGCACACCCAGAGUCGUAAAGCAUAGCGCCACCAGCUAACUUCUGAUGGGUUCCUUGUCACGAGACAGGCAUCUGACCUCUAAGUGACCAAGGCAGGUUUAUGGCAAGCACGUGUUCAGCUGUUAUGGCUGCCGAAAGGGAAGCUGGUCCCUUCAGUACAGGUGUGGGAAAACAUGAGGGUUGAGGGGCUAUGCUCAGACAGACAGACAGAGAGAACCUGCUGAUGGCUAGCAGGAAGAGAGGAGUCACAAAGAUUUGAAGCCCCGAGGCUCUAGCAACAGUAGAGCCAUGUUCUGAAGUAGGAAACCAAGAAAAGCAGGCUCGGAAAGGGUGAGGGUCCUGCUGGGGAAGAGAGAUGGGUGUGGAGCCUGGGAAAGAGGUCUGAGCUGUCAUGUCACUUUAGGCUGUGGAUCUGAGGCAGGUGCAAGCCUGAUGCUGGUGUCACUUCAGUGAGAGCAGGGGAGAGUAGCGCAAGCAAGCUGGGCAAGGCUAGGUGCGGGGGCGAGGUAGAUUUAUUCCAGUUAGAAUGGGGAAAACAGCUUCUAGCAAUAGAGGACAGACAGCAGUAGCUGGAAUCAGAUGGAAAUGCCACCCUUCCAACUCAGCAUGGAAAAAUAAGAGGUAUGCUCUGGGACAACAUGGUGGACACAGACGCUGUGGAGAGCCAGCUUCUCUUUUUGCAUUUUCUACCCUUUAGCCUGUGACUCCCAUCUUCAUUAUCAACUCAGAGUUUGUGAUGGCUGCUGGAGCUCCAACCAUCCUCUCACCUUUGAGAAAGGAAGGACAGAGAAACAGCAAAGGCUCCUGGCGCUUUCAGCCUCCCUCAGUUUGCAUUCCACUUAGACUUUCCAUGUCUCCUUGGCCACCAGUCGCUGUAGAAAAGGGGGUUGCCUUGGGCAGAUUUUCUGAUUCUGACUUCUGUUUCUGCAAAAAUAGGGGUUCAUCCAUGUCAGCACCAUCUGUAUUAGCUCCACAUUGCUGCACCAUUUGCCGCUGUCUGUGUUAGCCCCACAUUCGGGAGCCAUUUGUUGCUGACUGAUGUCUUGGGGGCUGCGAUCGGAACCAGCGGAACAACCCCAGGUCCAAUCCUGAGUAGGGGAGUAUGGAUGAAUUGAAUGCUAUUCAAUAACAUUAAAGAAACGACAGAGACAUCUGCUAAUAACAGGAGGGCGCUCAGUUAAUACUGAAGGUGCCCAGUUUAUUGAUCCAGUGUCUUAAGUAACCAUCCAGAGAUGGGGGCAAUAGCAGAAGACAUCUAUUAUUAUCUAUAAAGGGCUGAUAGCAAUUAUUUCCCUUAAUCCUGAAGAUUCUCCUUUGCAUCACGUACUCAAGCCUUCAGGCACCUCCACCCCGUCAUGUCUCACUAGCCUUCAGGGUGGGUGUAGACUCACCCUUGGCCCAAGUCUAUUGUUAUUUAGAUAGGAGCUGUUCUCCAGGACAUCCAGCAGCUAUUAGCUGACAUCUAAAAGACAAUAGAAAUUCUGGGCUCUCCUGAACUCGUGGUAGGGUGGAAUAGACUUCCAAAAUAUACAGGCGGACACAUCCACUCACAGUUCAUGACUCACAUGUGUUCACUUAUCCAUGAACCAUAUCAAGCAAACAUGCAUAAAAGUAGUAUGCCCGGACUGCACACACAGCUUAGUGCACCAAGGCAUGGCGACCAGGCAUGGCAGCCAGAGUGGCCAGGCUAGGAAGGAAAUAACCCCAUCCCCACCUGCCACUCAGCCCAGGUGCUGUGAGAAGCAGGAUGCAAAACCCCUGUCUGCUUCAUCACGCUCAUUGCACCAGGAGUGGCAGUGAUCCAGUGUGGGUUUGGAGACCACAGCCUGCAUGGUGGAAUCCUAGAGACGGUAGUGCUGCUGUGGCCAGGCAGACUGGCGCCCUCCACACCUGUGUGGCAGGGUGGUGGCCAGCUGUGAGGUCCUCCUGGCCGGUCUCUGCAGACCCUGCAGACUGGCUGGCGGGGACAGCUGGUGCAGGAAACCAUCAAACAAUGGGUGGCUGCAGCCGGGAGCUGGAGGCACACCCACAGAGACUUCCCCUGAAUGUUUUGGACCACUUAGUGUGGCUGACCUCAGCACUGAUUUAUGAAGUACCUUAAAAAUAGUUUUUACCUAGAGGUAGCGUAUGGCCUGAUUCUUGAGGGCACAAUGACCAUUGUCCUGGUUGUUGACUUCAGCUACGGUUGAGAUCAGUGUUAUAUUCAUCCAGAACUCUUAACAAGGCCUGGCUUCUGAGUGCGGCUUCCCCAGAGCUCAGGGAAACUGUCUCCUCUUUCCUUAUGAGGCAGUGAAUGAAAUCAUCCCCUCAGCAAAGUCCCUUCCAGAGCACAAGCCUGGGGUACUGCUGUGCACAUACCCAGUUUUCUGAAGCUGAUGUCACUCAGCUGGGCAGCUGGGGAUGGCUCCAUGCCUGCUUUGCAGCCUGUCACAAGAGGAACCACUUUCCUUACUUGCCUAUGGAAGGGCACCACAGCCUUUGUUAUGUUUUUAUUUAAAAAGAGGAAAAGAGAAAGCUGCAAGAUGAGACAUGUUAACUAGUUUAUUACAUGACCCGGCAGAAUAGGGAGACUAAGAGAGAAAAAGAGGAACAGGGGUAAUGGCUGACCGCCAUGGCCGGUCACCAUAGAGAGGCAGAGAGAGCACGUAGGUGAGAGAGAGCCAAGAAGAAACAGAGAGAGAGUAGAGAGGAAGCAGAGAGAGAGAGUGAAGCAGGAAAGUUGGAGCUUUUAAAGGGAAGACUGCGUAUGCCCACUGAGGUUCCACGCAUGCCCAGAGUCCUCAUGCGUGGCCAGUGAUGUGGUGAUGACGUAGCACGUUUUCUUGUGCGUGCCCUGACUGUUGUCAGGGGGCAAGAUCUGUCUCUUAAAGAGGUAGUGCCGGUCAGCGUCAAAGCCUGAACCUUUCAGCCUUCAACAGCCAGAGCCUGCACUCACCUUGCAGGCUAGAUGGCCAGGUGCCCUCUGCUUCCUCACCAUCACUGUGUGACUGGUUGCAGUCUCUCGGGCUGCUGUGCAAUACCUGUAGGGUGGGGUGUUCCCUCUCACCAGAGGGAUCCUGUGAGGGCCUGCCACAUUCUCCUGCAUUCUCCUUUUCCUGCGAUGAUCUCUCCCCAUCUUUUCUUUUCUUUUUUUUUUUUUUUUUUAAGAUUUUCCUCAGAACUCACAGCAAAAUUUAGUGAGAACAUGCAGCCAUGAGCUCUAAAUGAUGCGUGCGGUGUGCCAUUCGUCUCCCAGUGCGAGCAUCACAUACAUCUGAGGACUGCAGCUCAGAGGGGGAAAGCCUACGCUUCCUAGAACAUCACCUUCAUCUCUGCUGUAAUGCCCCCGAUGAAUAAUGUAAAAGAAAAUCAGGGGCUCAUAGUUAUGAAAUUGCCUCAGUGAAUGUCUGAAGGGACUGCACUUACAUAUUUGAACAGCGUUGAGACUGUUAAGAACAACUGGGGCUUUUGAAGUUGGACUGGAUGCAUUUUGCAUUAUGAGAUGCCCAUGAGCUUGUGGGGAUAAAAGAUGCCAAGCUUGGAGACACAGCUUUCUGUUUUCUAAGAAGAGCAAAGAUUAAAACGAAGCUGUCUUGGGAUCAUUCCGAAGCUCCAGAAAACAAAGUGAGCUGGAGGACGCGGACAAAGAGCAGAUCACUAAAACAGCUUUCUACAGGAAGCAGAAGCAUGCCUUAGGAGACGUCUGCUCUGUGUCCACAAAGAUGAGGCAGGAGAACCUGAAUUAUACAACACAGUGAAAAAGCCACAAAGAAAGCAUGAGUUACAUGGGGCAGGGUUGGGGGAGCAAAUAGCUCUAGAGGUAGAGUUCAGGGUGUCAUUCCUCUGGCAGCAGACAUCCAAGUAUGACAGGUUGGGUGGCCCCUGCAGGCAGUCUGUUCAGCUUAGCACAUGCAGGACACAAGCCACUCAGCAUGGGUCCUGUCACUCUGCAUCCCACUCCUGCCCACUCCUACUGCCCAGGCCUUCCCAGAAGGUUGCCUGGAAAGCAGAGUGCCAUGAAUUCUGACCUCUCCACUCUUCCAUCUUUGCAGGGAAGGCUGCCUUGGAGCCAGCUUCCCAUGAAGGCCCCUUCCAGGGUUACAUGGGCCUCCUCUAAAGAUGUAUAGGCAAAGUUUAAAAAACCCCAAUACUAUAAAAACCAGACAAGACUGAAAAAGGACAACAAAUCCACCAUAUCGGUUUUCAUUUGUAAUAAAGGCCAGUGUUCCUCCAGGAAAUGGACUGACUCCAAGAAAAAGGAGAAAUCAUUCAAAAAUCCAGAUUUGGAAUCUCAGGAAAAUGUCAGAGAAAUGUAAGUCUAUGAAAGACAAUAUGUGAUGAGAAAAAUAUUUAAAUUGAAAAACAUAGUUAUCCCCAGUAAAAAUGUGCAGAAGUAUCAGGGAGAGUAUCAGGUGGAGAAACCUGCAUGGGCAAACAGUUGGUGGGAAUUACUGGGUAGCUGUUACAGCAUAGCGCCAAAGGCCUCCCUCAGGGAAGGAAAGUUACAAAGGCAUAAAGAGGAUGCAGACCAAGUUGAGAACCAACGAGAGACCCAGGACAGACGGCAGUGACAGAGUUGUGGGCUUGAGGCACAGUGCUCAGGGCUGUCAAAUGGAACAAAACCAGAAGUGGUAAAAGGACAGGCAGGCACAGCUGGAAAACCCCCAAAGACCCUAAAACAGUUCUUCCUGUCACAGAAAAAUAUGCCUUGCUGCAGAGGCUUCAGUAGUGACUGCCGAGAGGCUGUGGCUGUCAUGUAAGAACACAUCACCUUCUCCUGAGGAUGUUCUUGAUCUUGCUGCAGGAAGGAAUAUAACGUUUUCAAGUUUCUUUAAAGGAGAUGGCACAAACCUGAAUAGAAUCAUAGUAAAAACAGUGAUUAAAACAUAGAACUCUGAAAGUCUCCAGGAUGAAAAUGGUGUGGUGUGGACUCUGUUCCCUCCAGCCACAGGCAGACAGAACUGUAGUCAGUGUCCCACCAGGACUUCUGUACAGAACAUAAACAAAAGGCUUUAAGGUUUAUCUAGACCCAUAAAGAAAGUUCUAGAAAAAAACCUGGUUAAAUUGUCUGGUAAAUUGCUGUAGCUAUUAAAGAACCGUUGGUGUGUUUCAAUGAUCAGGAUAGCCUUGAAAUGACCUCAGGGAAGGCGGGGCAGAAACACAUGCCUUAAAAUGUGG
ensembl:lncRNA